GGAGGGGUGCCAGAGUGGUUGAAUGGAACAGUCUUGAAAACUGUCGGGUCGCAAGGCCUCCAGGGUUCGAAUCCCUGCCCCUCCGCCA
rnacentral:tRNA from 1 species